rnacentral:lncRNA from 1 species
CCCUACGCCCUCCGACAAUAAUCGCGAUGACAAUCGGCUAAUUUCCUUCUCAAUCUCCUCUAUCUCCGAAUCGAUUUUCUUUUCAUCGCGAACUAGUUCUUCAGUACCACUCUUUGAAACCGGCUUCUCAACAAGACCCUGUUUGGGGAGAGGCUUGAUUGGCUUCAUUGUCGAGUUUUGGAUCGCGCCAUUUGGGUGAAGUGGCUUAAUCUGUGCGGGGGACUUU